AGUGAACGCUGGCGGUAGGCCUAACACAUGCAAGUCGAACGGCAGCACAGUAAGCGCUUGCUCUUACGGGUGGCGAGUGGCGGACGGGUGAGGAAUACAUCGGAAUCUACUUUUUCGUGGGGGAUAACGUAGGGAAACUUACGCUAAUACCGCAUACGACCUACGGGUGAAAGCAGGGGAUCUUCGGACCUUGCGCGAUUGAAUGAGCCGAUGUCGGAUUAGCUAGUUGGCGGGGUAAAGGCCCACCAAGGCGACGAUCCGUAGCUGGUCUGAGAGGAUGAUCAGCCACACUGGAAUUGAGACACGGUCCAGACUCCUACGGGAGGCAGCAGUGGGGAAUAUUGGACAAUGGGCGCAAGCCUGAUCCAGCCAUACCGCGUGGGUGAAGAAGGCCUUCGGGUUGUAAAGCCCUUUUGUUGGGAAAGAAAAGCAGCAGGUUAAUACCCCGCUGUUCUGACGGUACCCAAAGAAUAAGCACCGGCUAACUUCGUG
rnacentral:rRNA from 1 species